GCACAAGGAACAAAAUGCUGACUUAUGCAACACUCUGCUUGUCGGCCAUGCAUCACAACUGGCUCCAACUUGGCAAUCCAAUCCAUGCUACCAGCGGGUAUCAGGUUACAUCAAGUUUUAUCUCAAACAAUAUGUGUUUAGAAGAAAAAGAUGCAUGUGAAAAUUAUAUCAGCAAUUUGAGCCAUCAGUUAAAAAAUAUUGUUGAGCGAC
rnacentral:lncRNA from 1 species